CAGAUUUAGGCUCUGGUCCGAA
rnacentral:siRNA from 1 species